AGAUCAUUGGUGAUAGGUUAACUUGUUGUUCAUACCUUAGCUCAGCAGCUAGGGGGCAGCAGAUCAUUGGUGAUAGGUUAACUUGUUGUUCAUACCUUAGCUCAGCAGCUAGGGGGCAGCAGAUCAUUGGUGAUAGGUUCACUUGUUGUUCAUACCUUAGCUCAGCAGCUAGGGGGCAGCAGAUCAUUGGUACAGAAAACCUUUUAUUAUAACAGAUAUGACAGUACUACAUUGUAAUCAUCUACUCUUACGGUCAAGACGUAGAACCUUUCUCUAGCUCAGUAGUAACCAGACAGUUGGGGUUGAACGUUUGCAAUGUUUGACAGUUUGUAAAUCCUUUUUGUUAACCCUGUCAAUGUGUCUUCCUCUUCUAGCUGUGAGGCCACUGCACUGAGAACUGGUGUUACGGAGGAUCAGUAUGGACUUGUGAGUGAGGAAGCUAUCCUGUUAAGCAUGCUCAGUGACGCCUGUAACACUGGGCACUCUACUGUGUCUCUACUGUGUCUCUACUGGACUCUACUGGACUACUGGUCUCCACUCUGUCUCCACUGGACUCUACUGGACUCUACUGUGUCUUCACUGUGUCUCUACUGGACUCUACUGCACUAGUGGUCUCCACUCUGUCUCCACUGGACUCUACUGGACUCUACUGUGUCUUCACUGUGUCUCUACUGGACUCUACUGCACUACUGGUCUCCACUCUGUCUCCACUGGACUCUACUGGACUCUACUGUGUCUUCACUGUGUCUCUACUGGACUCUACUGCACUACUGGUCUCCACUCUGUCUCCACUGGACUCUACUGGUCUCUACUGUGCCUCCACUGGACUCUACUGGACUACUGGUCUCCACUCUGUCUCCACUGGACUCUACUGGACUACUGGUCUCCACUCUGUCUCUACUGGUCUCUACUGUGUCUCUACUGGACUCUACUGGUCUCUACUGGUAUCUACUGUGUCUCUACUGGUCUCUACUGGACUCUACUGGACUACUGGUCUCCACUCUGUUUCUACUGGACUCUACUGGUCUCUACUGGACUCUACCGGUCUCUACCGGUCUCUACUGGACUCUACUGGACUCUACUGAUCUCUACGGGACUACUGGUCUCCACUCUGUCUCCACUGGACUCUACUGGACUCUACUGUGUCUCUACUGGACUCUACUGGACUCUACUGUGUCUCGACUAGACUCUACUGGACUCUACUGUGUCUUUACUGGACUCUACUGGACUCUACUGUGUCUCUACUGUGUCUCUACUGGACUCUACUGUGUCUUUACUGGACUCUACUGGUCUCUACUGGACUCUACUGGACUCUACUGUGUCUCUGCUGGACUCUACUGGACUCUAGUGUGUCUCUACUGUGUCUCUACUGUGUCUCUACUGGACUCUACUGGACUCUACUGGUCUCUAUUGGACUCUACUGUGUCUCUACUGUGUCUCUACUGGACUCUACUGUGUCUUUACUGGACUCUACUGGUCUCUACUGGACUCUAGUGUGUCUCUACUGUGUCUCUACUGGACUCUACUGGACUCUACUGUGUCUCUACUGGGCUCUACUGGACUCUACUGGUCUCUAUUGGACUCUACUGUGUCUCUACUGGACUCUACUGGACUCUACUGGAUUCUGAAAACAACAGACACACAACAGACCACUCUGACAACAGACAUAUAAUAGACCAUUCUGACAACAACAGACCACUCUGACAACAACAGACGCACAACUGACCACUCGGACAACAACAGACACACAACAGACCACUCUGACAACAACAGACCACUCUGACAACAACAGACCACUCUGACGACAAAAGACCACUCUGACAACAACAGACCACUCUGACAACAACAGACCACUCUGACGACAAAAGACCACUCUGACGACAAAAGACCACUCUGACAACAACAGACCACUCUGACGACAACAGACCACUCUGACGACAAUAGACCACUCGGACAACAACAGACCACUCUGAAAACAACAGACACACAACAGACCACUCUGACAACAACAGACCACUCUGACAACAACAGACCACUCUGACAACAACAGACCACUCUGACAACAACAGACCACUCUGACGACAAAAGACCACUCUGACAACAACAGACCACUCUGACAACAACAGACCACUCUGACGACAAAAGACCACUCUGACAACAACAGACCACUCUGACAACAACAGACCACUCUGACGACAAAAGACCACUCUGACAACAACAGACACACAACAAACCCUCGCCCCUUGAGACUGAUGGCCUUUGGCAUUUCAUAACGAUGAGUGAAAAUUUGACAUUGCUAUGUAUGCAGUACUUAAAGAAAUAGUUUCACAAAUGCUGGUACGUCAUGUUCUGACUGUAUAUGUGUUUUAAUGAACUAGAUAUGUAUCACUGUUUAUAAUGUAGAAGAGUUGUUGUUUUAUUAAGUCUUAUUGAAGGAAGCAAACAGAUGGAAAGUACUCAGCAGACAGCCAGACAGACGCUAGUGGGGAUUCACUACCAGCUAUUCUGUUGAUUAACGCCUCGGUCACACCGACGGUGACAUUGCAUUGUGGUACACCAGAAGUACAUUCAUUUCCAAUGGAACGCUGCGUUUGUCUUGCAGCAUUGCGUUACAGAGGCAGUUGCAGUGCGUUCUGU
rnacentral:lncRNA from 1 species